CCUACGGGACGCACCAGUGGGGAAUAUUGCACAAUGGGCGCAAGCCUGAUGCAGCCAUGCCGCGUGUAUGAAGAAGGCCUUCGGGUUGUAAAGUACUUUCAGCGGGGAGGAAGGCGUUGUGGUUAAUAACCGCAGCAAUUGACGUUACCCGCAGAAGAAGCACCGGCUAACUCCGUGCCAGCAGCCGCGGUAAUACGGAGGGUGCAAGCGUUAAUCGGAAUUACUGGGCGUAAAGCGCACGCAGGCGGUCUGUCAAGUCGGAUGUGAAAUUCCCGGGCUCAACCUGGGAACUGCAUUCGAAACUGGCAGGCUAGAGUCUUGUAGGGGGGGGUAGAAUUCCAGGUGUAGCGGUGAAAUGCGUAGAGAUCUGGAGGAAUACCGGUGGCGAAGGCGGCCCCCUGGACAAAGACUGACGCUCAGGUGCGAAAGCGUGGGGAGCUAACAGGAUUAGAUACCCGCGUAGUC
rnacentral:rRNA from 1 species